rnacentral:rRNA from 1 species
AGAAUCAACGCUGGCGGCGUGCCUAACACAUGCAAGUCGAACGAGAAAGUGGAGCAAUCCAUGAGUAAAGUGGCGACCGGGUGAGUAACACGUGACUAACCUACCUUCGAGUGGGGGAUAACCUCGGGAAACCGAGGCUAAUACCGCAUAACAUCGUGAGAUCAAAGCAGUAAUGCGCUGGAAGAGGGGGUCGCGGCUGAUUAGCUAGUUGGCGGGUAAUGGCCCACCAAGGCGAAGAUCGAUA